GAGAAAGCCCACACGCAGCAACGAAGACCCAACGCAGCCAAAAAAAAUAAAUAAAUAAAUUUAUUUUUAAAAACCCUGCAGAACACACUUCUUCUGAUUUAAGUUAUUGUUGUUAACCAAGUAUCUGAUGUAUUAGAGCAGCGAAGGCAGUCCCCAGCAGGCCCAGGACUAUGAGCCGUUCCUUGUCCGUGUGCUUUGCCUCUAACCCUUGCAUGUCCAAAUGCAAAUGAGUUGGUGAAAUUACGAGAAAGAUAGCUUCAACUCUGCUCUCAUUUAUUUUUGAAAUAUCAUAAAAGAUAUAUUUCAGAAACAUCCAUUCUUCAUUAUUGGUGACAGAUUAUUUACCAACUGUUUGUAUUAAUAUCUUGGUUCUAAGGGACAGAAACUUGCCCAGGCUGAUUAAGGAAAAAUGGGAAGUUUUGGUUAUGGAAUUGAAGAGUCUGGGGCAAAGCUGCUUCAGGAAUGGCCCGAUCCAGGUGCUUAAAUGAAGCUGUUGGUCAUGUGUCUCCAUGUCUUAGCUUGUUUUCUUAUGCCAGCUUCAUUCUCAGGCAGGCCCUUUCCAAGUAGUGGCCAAGGUGGCUCCCCAAAGUUCCAAGAUUACGUUUUAGCAGCCUAACAACCCUGUGGAAAGAGUGUGCCUCUUUCCAAAUCAUUCCAGAAGAAUCUAGAAAUGGUUGACUCUGGAUGGACUGGCUUGGGCAUGAACCCAAGUCUGGGUGGCAGGCCCUCCCCUGCAGCUGGUUUAGAGCCGGCCUUUUACCCCCAACCCCCCACCCCAUGCCACAUGGACUGAGAGGAAAGAAGGAGUGAUUGACUAAAGGAAAAGUGGGAUGCUGUUACCAGAAGAAGGAGGAAAGGAUGCUUGCCAGGCAAAACUCCAGGUAUCCACUCACAGCUGGUCACCACAAAGGAAACAGGCUCAGCACAGAGGUAAGGACCGUUAGAUAUAGGCCAGCUGAAUACCAGGGCGUUUCCGUACUCUGACGAGGAAGACCAGUUCUGCUAGGUGCCUCCCCACCUCAAUUUAUGUAAUCCCUCCACCAGUUUAUCUCAAGUCCUCACUCAGUUUUCUUGACCUUUCCUAGUCUGGCUUCACCCGUCCACUGGCAGUGAACUCCUCACCUUGUGCCCCAACUGGGUGACCCUGGGUCACUUGGGCCUCUCAUCCUUUUCCUUUUCUGGGUCAGAUGUUAAGGUGCUUUCUCCCAGGCACUUGCUCUGUGUUUUGGAUGACUAGCCUUAUCCCAUUCCCGAGCAGAUGGCUCUCAGAGUUCAGCCCUGAAUGGACAUUUACCAACUUGUGGAACAAGGUGCAGAGACACAGGUACUUUCUGCCAUCUCAGGGUCUCCCAGGAGCCAAGAACAUUUACGCUUGAACUUGCAAUGUGUCAGGAAGGGGAAGUUCAAGAGUUGAGCUCUUUCUCAGGUCACUCAGCCCCGUUUCCCCCCAAACUCUGUUUCCACAAAUCUAAUUUAUCUUCUCUAGAUCUCAAGCCAUGAUUAUUCUUUCACAUGUGGUUCCGCUUUCAUAAUUCAGAUAUCCUGUGUUACAUCUUUUCCUGGGCUAACCAAACGAACUUGCAUAUGAGUUUGCUCACGUACUCCUGUCCCUGCCCCUGCCCUCACUCCUUGUUUGGUCUGUCUUCCCUAGUCAGAAUCCAAUUGAAUUGGCUAUUCCUCAGCCCUGUCUCACAAAACCACUCUAGAAUCCCUAGACACAUGAGUACCUAAGAAGAAAGUGGGGCCACGUGUUCAACUGUCCCCAGAGGGCUGGGGUCCUGACACAGCCCGUCACUGUGUGCAGGCAGGGCCUCUGAUUCUGUCUCCCAGUGUCCCGUCCCCUGACUCUGCAUCACCUCUGCCUUUUCCCCACCUCAGCUCUGCUUAAACCACAUCGAUCCAAGAUGACUCCAGUUUCCUUGGAAGCCAUUUGACAAAAACACAUAAAUACAGGAUAGAUUAUGCUUCACGGUUCCACAGGAACUGUGUCUUGUCUGGGCCCAUGUUAUAUGGCCCAGAAACAACAGAGGCUACGUUCUCAUCCCCACGAACCAGGACGCUUGACACUGCCACCCCGCUAGAUCCUCCCUCAGAAUCCCAGCAUCUUAUUUUCCUUUUACUCCAUUGUCAAUCUGAGCUCUCCUCCAGGACCCAGACUUUCUUCCAGUCACCAUUUCUCCCCAGCACAGGUACACUUCCCAUAUAAACAACAGAAUGGGGGGAGAAACCCCUCUCUGCUACAUUUAAUUGUAUCAUUCUACCUUUAUGCUCUCCUUGAAUGUUCCUAACAAUCUGGAUUUGGUUAAGAAAGAUGAGGAAUGGGGAGAGGGACCACUCUCCUUUACCCCAGGGGCCUGGAAAGGUUCUCUGCCCCACUUUGCCCAUGUGUAUAUAUGUAUAUGGACAUACACGCAUAGUCCAUAUACACGUACAUGCCAUGUGUUUGUCUGGUGCAUAUGCCAAUCCACUGGGUUACUUUGAGGGUCUCAGGCCUCAUCUGAGCUCCUUUUCCUGUUGGCAGGUAGUGCAUGCCUGGUCUGUUCCCUCCCAGUCAUGACCUUAUGUUGACUACGAGCCCAGAGUUGGAAGAAGAGCUCGUGGGAAGGAAGGCGGUAGUGGUAGUGGGGUUUCUGUACUAUGAGUCUCUUUUUUUGCUUUGCAGAAAGAGCUGGAUUUAUGCUCUCACUUUGGAGAGUAGUUGGCAGUUUCUGCUGAAACUGAAGAUGCGGAUGCCAGGGCUCACAGUAUUUCCCUCCUUUGAGGAAUUUUCCCACAAGUGUACGAAGAGACACGUGCAAGGAUGUUCGAGGCGGCGUUGUCAAUGCUGAAUCACAAAGCUUCAGUGACCGCACACAGCUGCAUCGUGGGAGCGGGCAGUGCAGCAUCUCAAGUCCAGCUCAACCAAGUAAACCUCAGAGUGAUUCACACAAAUGUAUGCAUGCGAGCUUCCUCUCCACGAUGCCAUACCUUUCACCAGAGUUCCGCUUCCCAGUCAUCAAAGGUCCUGAGCCCUAACCCUGUGCAUGGGUGCUGGGGACAUGAGUGAACAAGACACAGAGUUAAACAGGUAAACACACAAACCAGGGGAUUUCAAGUAAAGGAAGGAAACAAACAAGGAAACCUAGAGAGAGAGUCUGGCCUAGGGUUUUCUUUAGGUAAGGCUGUCAGGACAGGCUUGGGCUGAGGAGGGAUAUUUGAACCAGUGAGAAGGAACCAGCCGUGUGGAGAGCAUUCCAGCUAGAGGGGACAGCAAGUACCAAAGCCCUGCGAUGGGAACAAGCUCGCUGUGUCAGGGGCCAGUGUGGCUGAGCCUGGAAGACAGGUGGGGCUGCUUGUUCUCUGGGCUGUGUAAGAGGACGCGGGGGUGAGCCUGAGAGUGUUGCGUCAUCUGGAGCUGUUUGACCUUGGAUGACGGUGUCUCAUCUGUUGAUCUUACCUUCCUCUCCGGGGCUUUGAUAUGUCCCGAUAAGCUUCUGCAGCCAGUCAGAAUCUGACAGCUCCCUUCUGGUUCAGAGCCCUCCUGACACCUUGACAACACAGAGCCACCACUGCCCUCCUCAGCAACCUGCGACAACAGGUGGGGUGACAGUCAGAUAAGGGGCUGCUAAAAAUGGAGUGACUGGGAAACGUUUUAAGAUGAUAGGGAACAGAAGUGUUCAGCCCAGCACGUGCAAACAGGGGAAGCAAAGAGAAAUGAGGAACGUGGGCCCAACCAGGGAACUGGGCUAGAGUUAGUCACUGCUCUCGUUCAAGCUGGGCCCCAGGACAGCUUAGCUCACUGCAGUUCGAUGGACCUCCUUUGAAACCACAGGAACAGUCUAAGAUCAGGAAACCUCAUCUGUAAGGAAAUUGAGUUUCCCCAGAUGCCUCCACCUGCCCAGCUGGUGCCUGCCCAGGCCCUCACUUCCAGCACCUCAGGAGUGGGACCCCAGGUUGCCUAGACCUCGCCACCCAUCAUUCCGGUUGCUCAGGCCCCAAUCCCGAGAGAUACCUUUGACUCUUCAGAUAUAUCUCUCAGGCUUUGACUACUCCGUCAGCAAGUCCUUUCCACUCUAUCUUCAAAAUGUAUCCCAAAUCACUGCAUUUACUGUACCACCCCAGUCAGGCUGUCAUCACCAUCUCUCACCUGUGUUCCUUCAUUAUCUCCUGUUUGGUCCCUUUGCUUCUGUUGUCCCCUUCAGUGUGCUUUCCACACGGUAGCCAGAAUGAUCAUUUUAAAACAUGAGUAGGUCUGUCCCUCCUCUACUCAAAAUCCCACAGUCUCCCCAUCUUACUCAUCAAAGCCCUAGUCCUUACAGUAGCCUCCAAGUUCAACUGUGUUGGCUUCCUGCACCCAUCACUCUCUGACCUCAUCUCCUACACCUCUCUCUCCCCCUGUUACUUGGGACACUUCUCUGGGGGGGUGCAACUUAAUGACAUCUCUCAAAAUGAAAAAUCCAAUACCAUCUGAUCCAAUAGUUGACAUUCAUGAGUUUAUUAUAUGGAUAUACUUCUUCAUGUGUCCAAAGAAGUAUAUUCGUCACAGUGUUUUUUGUUUGUUCUGUGAUAAUAAAAGACUAGGAACAACCUAUGUCCAUCA